CCAGAGUGAUAGUGUCAGACAUGCCCAUUCCAAAGGACAAAUCGUAUCGCAAGUAAUGAGAGAAAGCGCAGUCGUUACUAAUAUCCCAAGAUGACGUCACAGAAAGAUCCGUCAGGGCAUGGUGAUACCAAUAACAGUGGCCAGUACAGUUAUGAAAAAAAUUUCCGGACAGCGUUCCCCCAAUUUAUAGCAGUCAGCGUCAAAAAUUUGUUGUUAUUAGGUUAUGGCAUGACCCUGGGCUUCACAACCAUUCUUAUACCAGCCGUGGCAAAUCCAAUAGAUGGGGAAGUGCUACACUUAACACACAAUGAAUUGUCUUGGAUAAGUUCAAUUAAUUAUAUUAUAGUACCGUUUGGAUGCGCUGUGUCUGGGAUAGUGACGUCACCGCUAGGACGCAGAAGAGCCAUGCAGGUCGUUAACAUACCAUUCUUUGUGGCAUGGUUAUUGUUCCACUAUGCAAGUAGCACGGCAUAUUUAUAUGGUGCUUUAGUGCUGACGGGCUUGGCUGGUGGUGUAUUAGAAGCGCCGGUGUUGACAUACGUAGCUGAGAUCACCCAACCACAUCUCCGCGGCGCCCUCACUGCCACCAGUUCUUUGUGCAUUAUCCUUGGAGUAUUUACCCAGUUCCUGUUUGGUUUGUUCCUCUAUUGGAGAACAGUUGCCUUGGUUAACAUAAUUUUCACGAUUUUGGCAGUGGUAGCCUUAUUUUUUGUUCCUGAAUCACCACACUGGCUAGUGUCAAAGAAACGAUAUCAAGAAGCCCAAAAGAGUCUACAAUGGUUGCGCGGGUGGACCGAUGCCAAUGCAGUUGAAGAUGAAUUAAAAGACAUCCAGAAUUUAUAUAAAAGAAAAAAAGUUGAAUUACAAGAUGAGGAAGAGACGUUCUCGGAAAAAAUAUCGCAUUAUUUGGAGCGCAGCUUCUACGUUCCAUUUGCGCUGAUUUCUUUUAGUUUCUUUGUUGGUCAUUUCAGUGGCAUGACUACGCUUCAGACGUUCGCGGUAUCCUUAUUUCAGAGGCUUCAGGCACCAAUUGAUAAAUAUUAUGCAACGCUCAUACUUGGCAUUCUGCAAAUAUUAGGUACAGCUGUAUGUGUAUUACUGGUCCACUAUACAGGGAAGAGGCCAUUGACAUUCUUCUCCACCGGCGGAGCUGCUGUAUGUUGUUACUUUGUGGCUGCUUACGAUGGCUAUUUGAAACUCGACGGAAUGUCAGAAAUUACAAAUAUGAAUGUCAACGUUACUGCAGGAAAUGUUACUGAUAAUAUGAAUAAUUCUUAUUCGUGGAUACCGACGACGCUUUUUAUGUUGUUAGCUUUAAUAACACAUACAGGAAUCCGACUCUUACCAUGGAUAUUAAUUGGUGAGUGCAAAAACACGGUCUGGCGGUGCCGGUUUAUCUGGCGCUGUGGGUUAUAUAUUCGGAUUUCUUACGAACAAAUUGUACAUUGAUAUGGUAGAAAGACUCGAUUUAUGGGGAACUUAUGGACUUUAUGGAAUCGUGUGUACCUUAGGCUGUAUAAUUUUUUAUUUCAUUCUACCUGAAACUGAAGGAAAAAAUUUAAGUGAUAUAGAAAAUCACUUUGCAGGAGUAAAGCGAC
rnacentral:misc_RNA from 1 species